rnacentral:rRNA from 1 species
AACGAACGCUGGCGGCAGGCCUAAUACAUGCAAGUCGAACGGGCGUAGCAAUACGUCAGUGGCGGACGGGUGAGUAACACGUGGGAACAUGCCUUUCGGUUCGGAAUAACGCAGGGAAACUUGCGCUAAUACCGGAUGACCCGGCGACGGAAAAGAUUUAUCGCCGAAAGAUUGGCCCGCGUAGGAUUAGCUAGUUGGUGAGGUAACGGCCCACCAAGGCGACGAUCCUUAGCUGGUUUGAGAGAACGAUCAGCCACACUGGGACUGAGACACGGCCCAGACUCCUACGGGAGGCAGCAGUAGGGAAUCUUGGACAAUGGGGAAACCCGUACAUCCAGCCAUGCCGCGUGAGUGAUGAAGGCCUUCGGUU